GUGUAUUUCACUCGCCCUGCCUUAGCUCUCUGCUGAGAGACAAGAGUCACUGAAAGGAAGAGCAAACAACAGACAGCAGCAAUGCUAAACUGCUUGGUGACCGUGCUGGGAAUAUUCAUCUGUGUUCCCCUUCUCCUGUUCCUGGCAGCUCCCUACAUCAGGAGGUACAUGGCAGGAGGGGUGUGUAAGUCAACAGCUAAGCUGAAUGGGAAGAUGGUGGUAAUCACGGGAGCCAACACAGGAAUUGGAAAGGAGACAGCCAGAGAUCUCGCACAAAGAGGUGCCAGGGUGAUCAUUGCCUGCAGAGACAUGGCAAAGGGGGAAGCAGCAGCCUGUGAGAUCCGAGCAGAGACAGGGAACCAACAAGUAAUUGUGAAGAAGCUGGAUCUGGCUGAUACCAAAUCUAUCCGAGAGUUUGCUGAGAACUUCCUAGCAGAGGAGAAGGAGCUACAUAUUCUCAUUAACAACGCAGGUGUGAUGCUGUGCCCUUACUCCAAGACAGCUGAUGGCUUUGAGAUGCAUCUGGGAGUCAAUCACCUUGGUCACUUCCUCUUGACCUUCCUGCUGCUGGAGUGCCUGAAGCAGUCGGCCCCAGCCCGCAUAGUGAAUGUGUCCUCACUGGCUCAUCAUGGAGGCAGGAUCCGCUUCCAUGACCUCCAGGGUGAGAAGUGCUACAACUGGGGUCUUGCAUAUUGUCACAGUAAAUUGGCCAAUGUACUCUUCACCCGGGAACUGGCUAGACGCCUGCAAGGCACUGGAGUCACUGCAAACUCGCUGCAUCCCGGCUCUGUUUAUUCCAGUUUGGUCCGGCACUCGAUUCUAAUGACCCUGCUGUGGAAGACAUUUUCUUUCUUCUUGAAGACUCCACGCGAAGGAGCCCAGACCAGCGUGUACUGUGCAGUGGCUGAGGAGCUGGAGUCUGUGACUGGACAGUAUUUCAGCCCUCCUACACCUUCUGCUGUCUGCUUGGAAAACUGCCUUCAAGUCACUGGCUCCUCAGACAACCAUGCUGAAGAAUUGUGUGUAAUUAUUUGUUGAUUGCAGUUGACAUCUCUGGGGGGAGAUCUUUUCUCCAAGCUCUGCUACAGCUUAUUCCACAGCUGUACCUCUCUGAGGGGGCAGCAUCAUUCCCAUGAUCACCUGACAGUGAGACAGCCACGCUGGUUAUUUGUGUGGCCCACACAGUGACUGCCGGCCAGCCUAUGUUUCCCCUCAGGGCCGGAAUGACGAGGUGGCAAAGAAGUUUUGGAAUGUCAGUUGCGAGCUGCUGGGCAUCCAGUGGGACUGAACUGUCGAAACCCCUGAUCUCUAGCUGGAUGGGACUGGAUUUGAUAAGGAGCAUUAUGCUUGGGCAGAGGAACACAUGCAGCCAGCCCCCUGCCUGGCACUUGCAGCGGCUCUACCAGUGAUUUUAUAGACACAAUUGCCCUUAAACUUCUGAGCUAUCUUAUGUUUUAAAAGAAAAGGUGAGAUUAUUGCCCCCCUCAUCCCUCUUUCCUAACUGGAGGCUCAGGGCAAAGUGCAGUGACUCAGGGCUUAUCCUUUCCCCUCCCUGCCUUCCAUUCCCAUUCCACAACACAUUUUUCCCCUCAUUCCCCAAUAGAGGUAGAGGCUUUAGGUCAGUUAGGUUUCUGUACAAGACAAUUUAGAACUUUUGCUUUAUGCUUAUGGAAGGGUCUUUAUGCAGCAGUAGUAACCAGACUGGUUGAGGGUUUCCUUCAAUGUAUGCUCCACUGAGUCACUUGUCUCCGCUCCACUGCUUGGGAGGGGAUCCUAAAGCUGCAGCAACCCCCAGCUUAAAGGAGCAAGUCUCAGGUGAUCUGAGUGCUGAGGCCCCUCAGGAUUGUUAAUCAAUUGUAUUUCAGUAGCCCUUGUUGACACAACCAAGCUUGAGGACCACUUUUUGCUAGGCACUGCAUAAACUGCCACAUGUCCUUGUAGGUGGUUUUGGAAUUCCAAACAGGGGUGUGGGGGAAGGGAGAGAAGAGCUGCCAGUAGAGAGAGUGAGCAGAGAAUUGCGAGUGGUGUAUAGGGUAGUAAGUAAUAGAGCCUGCCCUCGACUUAGAGUAAUUCAAGCUGUGGCUGAUACAUCCCUGCCGCAUUUGCUAUCCUGAGGGAGGACAUUGGAAUUGCAGCCAUAGACAAAGGCAGGGAUCAUCCCUAGUGAGACAGCAAUGGCCACAUUAGCAAUGGAGCAGGAAGGAGAGAGUGGAACCUAGUUUACAUUGGCAUUAAGUUUGCACAGUAGUUCUAGGGAGAGGCUAGCCAAGGCUGGCAUGUGGCACUUGCAACACAUUGGACACCCUGUUGCAAAGGGCAAGUAAAGUUGGUCAUUGCUGCAGUCAUGUAGGCUCCAAAUUCUUCCCACCCUGUAUGGUAAUUGAGCUGCUUGCCUGUAAGAGGUCAUAUUUUAUACCUCAUUUGACUUUUUUUUCUGGAAGCAUCACAUGGCUAAAAUGUCACUGCGGUCAGGGUAUCACAGCUUGCAGGAUUGCCUUCCGCCUGCUAGGAAAUCCAGACAUUCAGUCCUGUACUCUGUGUAGUCACAAGUGAAUGGCAUUUUCUAGGAGAAGUAGAUGCCUAGUUCCUGAUUUAGGUUAGCACUACCAGCUCUCUCUAUAGCAAUGCUUGACCCUGCAAGUCACCACGUACCUCCAACCAUGACAUUACUAAAUAAAAUCAUUCCUGUUUUACACUGUUA